rnacentral:tRNA from 1 species
AUCUUUCUAGUAUCAAAGCGAGUAUUAGUGACUUCCAAUCACCAGGUCUUGGUUAAAGUCCAAGGAAAGAUA